AUUGAACGCCGGCGGCAGGCCUAACACAUGCAAGUCGAGCGGCAGCGGGGGAAAGCUUGCUUUCCCGCCGGCGAGCGGCGGACGGGUGAGUAAUGUCUGGGAAACUGCCUGAUGGAGGGGGAUAACUACUGGAAACGGUAGCUAAUACCGCAUAACGUCUUCGGACCAAAGUGGGGGACCUUCGGGCCUCAUGCCAUCAGAUGUGCCCAGAUGGGAUUAGCUAGUAGGUGGGGUAACGGCUAACCUAGGCGACGAUCCCUAGCUGGUCUGAGAGGAUGACCAGCCACACUGGAACUGAGACACGGUCCAGACUCCUACGGGAGGCGGCAGUGGGGAAUAUUGCACAAUGGGCGCAAGCCUGAUGCAGCCAUGCCGCGUGUAUGAAGAAGGCCUUCGGGUUGUAAAGUACUUUCAGCGGGGAGGAAGGUGUUGUGGUUAAUAACCAGAGCAAUUGACGUUACCCGCAGAAGAAGCACCGGCUAACUCCGUGCCAGCAGCCGCCGCAGUAA
rnacentral:rRNA from 1 species